rnacentral:rRNA from 1 species
GACGAACGCUGGCGGCGUGCUUAACACAUGCAAGUCGAACGGAAAGGCCCUGCUUUUGUGGGGUGCUCGAGUGGCGAACGGGUGAGUAACACGUGAGUAACCUGCCCUUGACUUUGGGAUAACUUCAGGAAACUGGGGCUAAUACCGGAUAGGAGCUCCUGCUGCAUGGUGGGGGUUGGAAAGUUUCGGCGGUUGGGGAUGGACUCGCGGCUUAUCAGCUUGUUGGUGGGGUAGUGGCUUACCAAGGCUUUGACGGGUAGCCGGCCUGAGAGGGUGACCGGCCACAUUGGGCCUGAGAUACGGCCCAGACUCCUACGGGAGGCAGCAGUGGGGAAUAUUGCACAAUGGGCGGAAGCCUGAUGCAGCAACGCCGCGUGCGGGAUGACGGCCUUCGGGUUGUAAACCGCUUUCGCAUGUGACGAAGCGUGAGUGACGGUAAUGGGUAAAGAAGCACCGGCUAACUACGUG